rnacentral:rRNA from 1 species
GACAGAGGUCCCGAGCGUUAGGCGGAAUCACUGGGCUUAAAGCGUGUGUAGGCGGAUUGGUAAGUCCCUUGUGAAAUCCCACGGCUUAACCGUGGAACUGCUUGGUAUACUGCUUAUCUUGGGCCACUUAGGGGCUACCGGAACAAACGGUGGAGCGGUGAAAUGCGUAGAUAUCGUUUGGAACGCCAAUGGUGAAAACAGGUAGCUGGGAGUGUGCCGACGCUGAGACACGAAAGCCAGGGGAGCGAACGGG